CUGCGCGCGUGUUUCUGAGCAGAUACGCUCAAACCUUAGACAGGAGGCUGCAAUAUGACACCUUGUCUCCAGGGUGUGAAUACUGAGCCCAAGUCUGGGUAUUUAACAAGAAAUGAGAUACAGUUUGUAGCUGUCGGAUAAAUACUUUGCACUCACAGACAGCCUCAGCUAAUGGCAGAUUAAAAUGUAUAGUUAGAUAAUCACACAGGCUUGGUGAAUACGCCCCUUAUUUUCCUUCUGCACAGUGACUAACUGUGAUCAGACCUGAAAGAAAUGUUUAGUGACCUCCUUGCUGACUUGUCCUUUGUUAGCUG